GAUGAACGCUGGCGGCGUGCCUAAUACAUGCAAGUCGAGCGAACAGACGAGGAGCUUGCUCCUCUGACGUUAGCGGCGGACGGGUGAGUACCAGUUGGUUAACCUACCUCUAGGACUGGGAUACUUCCGGAAAACGGGGCCUACUACGGGAAAAUUAAUUGACCGUAAGGUUUCAAUGGUGAAAGACGGUUUUGCGUUAACUUAAAGACGCACCGGGCCGAAUUAGCUAGUUGGUUAGGUAACGGCUUACCAAGGCGACGGUGCGUAGACGACCUGAGAGGGUGAUCGGCCGCACUGGAACUGAGACACGGUCCAGACUCCUACGGGAGGCAGCAGUAGGGAAUCUUCCGCAAUGGGCGAAAGCCUGACGGAGCAACGCCGCGUGAGUGAUGAAGGUCUUCGGAUCGUAAAACUCUGUUAUUAGGGAAGAACAAAUGUGUAAGUAACUAUGCACGUCUUGACGGUACCUAAUCAGAAAGCCACGGCUAACUACGUG
rnacentral:rRNA from 1 species